UACAUUUUUCAAAAUAUAAAAUAAAUAUAUAUAUUUUUAACUUCAGUUUAUUCCACAACAAUCAAAUAUGAAAAUGCAAUAAGUAUUUCAAUAUUUUCACAAGUUAAAAUUUAGGGGUUAGAGGAAAAAAAAAACUGGACUAAUCAAUGGGGAAAACUACAAGGAACUACACAGAUGGCACUAGGAACAGAACAAAGUAAUGUUGGCAUGACAUGACCCAAGGGCUGCAUUCCAAUCCACUUUUAGACAUGCACUAACAAACUUCCCUAAGCACUUCUUCCCCACCACCAUUUGGAAGUGCGUUCCACUUUGUGAAGUGGAUGAGGGAAGUUUAUAUAGACAGACCCUUGUCCCCUCGAUUUUGAUUGAGGGAGUGAGUCUACUCCGAUGUACACUUCAGGCAGCUCUAUAUCCCACAAUUCAACUUGAUUGUGACGUCACAGCAGAUCGCGCUCAACUGUAGUUUAUUACUUUGAGAAUUCAUUGCAUAAUAGUGUAUAAUAUACUAAUUAUGUUGAGAUUUAAUCACAUAAUACUUGUAGCUACCUUAUGAUCACAGUCGGUUUAUACUUUUUUUUAAAAAAUAAUUGUGUGUGUGUAAUUUUACUUUUCUCCAAUAGCUCAUAUACUUAAAGGAUUUUAUAUUUUUUCUCCAACAUCUUAUAUGCAUAAAAAUAAAUAAAAAUAAAAAUAAAAAAAAACUUAUAUGCAUAAAAAAAAUGUUUGUACCAUGGGGAGGGAUGGAGGACCAGGCCUGUGAGGUGAAUGUGGGUCUGGAGACUAAGGCAAAACAGGGAGCCAUGGCAGAGCAGGGGGAAGCCAGCGGAUCUGGGAGGGUGGGUGUUUGGUGGUGGUGGUGGUUGGGAUUGGGCAGAAAAUGUAGAUGUGUGUAGAAAAUAGAGGAUUAUUACGGAGCUCAAUCCUCUCAGCUGACUUGGCUUUAAGAAUGUUUGGGAAGAAAGUUCUGAAUACCACACCACUUUCUUUCAACAACACAGGAUGCUGGACCGUAAUACUUUAGCAUUACCAAGAUACAAAAAUAAAUUGAUUUGAUAAAUUAAAAAAAAACAAAAAAACAACAACAACAAAAGAAAACAAUCUAUUCUAUGCACACACUCAAUGGAUUUAAAAAACAACUUUUUUUUUUUUAUUUACAUUUUAAAACAUGUCCAGGUAUUGUCUUUUAUGGAUAAGUUCACUCAUUAUCUCAACCAAAUGGACUGAAUUAAUAGCCUACCUCAGGAUUUCAGAUAACUAAAUGUAUGUAAAUGGUUUCUCAAAACUCAAAGAUGAUGGACUCUGACAUUUCAACUGAGAGCCAAAGUGCAUAUGAGGUAAAUUAUUAUCAUUGUAAGUAGUAGUAGUAGCCAUGGUAGUAUUUAUUUGUUAUUUAUUCAACAUUAAGUUCUGGUUCUAAAUUAAUACUUUGUUUUAACUUUCAUAGAAUGUUUUCUGCAACCCAGUUUUCGAACCUGAUGAAGAAAAUGAGGAAAACAAAGGAAAUUUCAAAAUUGACAUUUACCUUGAACCUACUAAAAAGCCAGCUGCAGAUCACAGUGUGGUAAAUGACUGUUUGAUGACUUUAAGAGAACAGCUGGGUGGCCAUGGAACAAUAAUGGUGUCAACCGGUGUGUUGUUGAUUACGGCUAUUCUUUGCAUCAUACUGCUUGUUCUCAACCGUCAGGCAAAUUUUAAGACAUCUGUUAAUUGACACAAAUCAUUUAGUAGCUUAUUCCUUACAUUUUGAAUGUUAUAUUCCUUACAUUUUGAAUGUUAUUCCUUACAUUUUGAAUGUUAUUUUCAUUAUCUAUUGUUAAAAUAACAUUCAAAUUAUAACUUAGUUGUUUAUUGUGAUGCUGAGUAAUGAAAGGUUGAGGUCUUUCAAGGCUGCCCAGUAGCUUUGGUAGUAUAAUAAAGCUUUUAAAAGAACAUUCUUGCUGAGAAAAAAAACAAAAUCACAGGUUAGGCUUUAGAAGAAAUAUGCUGUAUAUGAGUAAGAACAAUGUAAAACAAUUUACAUAAGAUGACAAACAAUAACUAAUUGAAUAGAGAUGCAAGUGAAAACAAUGAUUAGAUGAAAAACAAAUCAUAGGAGCACAUGGGGAAAACGAGAGGCCCAACGAUGCGAUAAUAUUGUGAUUUUAAACAUUUUGUGAUAUGCUAAGUAUUGUGAUAUCACAUUGUGAUGGAAAUGUCCCCAAAGGAAAACUUUGACCACAUUGACAGUUGUUGCCUAUUGGUUAAACAGUCAGACUUAUAACCCGAAGGUUGCGGGUUUGAUUCUCAAUACCGGCAGGAAAAUGUGGGUGAGGGAAUGAAUCAGCAGUGCUUUCUACCACACUCAAUGCCAGCGAAUGAGGUUUUCAGUGUGUGUGCUCACUACUCACUGCUCCUAAUAUGUGUGCACGAACAUGAAUGGGUUAUGCAUGUUAACGUGAAAUCUAACGCAUGUAGUUUCAAAUUAAGAUAAAAAAUGUUACAUUGAAAAAAAAAAAAAAAAAAAAAAAAUUACUCUUAAAUUAAAAUAAAAUGUGCUACUGUUUACUCCUGGCUUCAAAAGUUCAAAGUCAUUUGGACAGUGAAGAAAUAUCAGCAUUCUGCUCAGAAAGAGGAGCUGAUCAACAUGCAUUGAAGGCAGAGUGUUUCUUUGUGCCGUGACAAUGUCUCCAGCCGUUGAGAAGCUGUUGAGUACCUGGGAUAGGUAUAUUAGGCGUAUUUCUUCCAGCUUGGCCAGGAAAGGAUAGAAUUGGUCAUGUAAUUUUCACCAGCUUAGUGGGUCGUCUGUGCGUGCCAAUGGUGUGACUUCCUUGUAUCUCUUCAUCUCCUCCUCAGCUAUUGAAGAUAAUGAUUUUGGUAAGGCUUCAGCAUUACUAUAAUGUUGGCUUGUUGGCUGGUGUGACAGGGGUUUUUGGUUCCUCUUCAUCAUAGCCAUGUUCCUCCUGAUGUUCCUGAGCUUCCUCAGAGAUGAUCUGUUGCCUCAUUUCUUCCUGUAGAAUACACACACAGAGGGAGAUACUAAAGGUUUAAUAAAUAUUUAAUAUUUUACCUUUGGUAAAUAUUAAAUUAUGGGCCACGUUCACACAGCAGCAGAAUACGGUUGUCAGUCCUGUAUUUGA